AUUGAACGCUGGCGGCAGGCCUAACACAUGCAAGUCGAACGAGUGGCGGACGGGUGAGUAAUGUCUGGGAAACUGCCUGAUGGAGGGGGAUAACUACUGGAAACGGUAGCUAAUACCGCAUAACAUAGGAUGUGCCCAGAUGGGAGUAGCUAGUAGGUGGGGUAAAGGCUCACCUAGGCGACGAUGCCUAGCUGGUCGGAGAGGAUGACCAGCCACACUGGAUCUGAGACACGGUCCAGACGCCGACGGGAGGCAGCAGUGGGGAAUAUUGCACAAUGGGCGCAAGUCUGAUGCAGCCAUGCCGCGUGUAUUAAGAAGGCCUUCGGGUUUUAAAGUCCUUUCAGCGGGGAGGCGUUACCCGCAGAAGAAGCACCGGCUAACUCCGUGCCAGCAGCCGCGGUAAUAC
rnacentral:rRNA from 1 species